GAGUUUGAUCAUGGCUCAGAUUGAACGCUGGCGGCAUGCCUUACACAUGCAAGUCGAACGGCAGCACGGGAGCUUGCUCCUGGUGGCGAGUGGCGAACGGGUGAGUAAUGCAUCGGAACGUAUCCUGGAGUGGGGGAUAACGUAGCGAAAGUUACGCUAAUACCGCAUAUUCUGUGAGCAGGAAAGCGGGGGACCUUCGGGCCUCGCGCUCUUGGAGCGGCCGAUGUCGGAUUAGCUAGUUGGUGAGGUAAAGGCGUCACCAAGGCGACGAUCCGUAGCAGGUCUGAGAGGAUGAUCUGCCACACUGGAACUGAGACACGGUCCAGACUCCUACAGGAGGCAGCAGUGGGGAAUUUUGGACAAUGGGGGCAACCCUGAUCCAGCCAUGCCGCGUGAGUGAAGAAGGCCUCGGUUCGUAAG
rnacentral:rRNA from 1 species